GAAAAAUUAGUUAAUAUAACAUAAGAAUGUCAAUCUUAAAUUACUUUUUUAAGUAUUUUUU
rnacentral:tRNA from 1 species